AUUGAACGCUGGCGGCGUGCUUAACACAUGCAAGUCGAUCGGUAACAGGUGUAGCAAUACAUGCUGACGAGAGGCGGACGGGUGAGGAAUAUUUGGGAAUCUGCCCAUCAGCGGGGGACAACCCGGGGAAACCCGGGCUAAUACCGCAUACGCUCUACGGAGGAAAGCCGGGGACCGCAACGCCUGGCACCGAUGGAUGAGCCCAAAUCGGAUUAGCUAGUUGGCGGGGUAAGGGCCCACCAAGGCGACGAUCCGUAGCUGGUCUGAGAGGACGAUCAGCCAGACCGGAACUGAGACACGGUCCGGACUCCUACGGGAGGCAGCAGUGGGGAAUAUUGGACAAUGGGGGAAACCCUGAUCCAGCGACGCCGCGUGGGUGAAGAAGGCCUGCGGGUUGUAAAGCCCUUUCGGUAGGGACGAAAGCUCCUGCUCUAAUAAUGCAGGAGGUUGACUUAACCUACAUAAGAAGCACCGGCUAACUCUGUGCCAGCCGCCGCAGUAA
rnacentral:rRNA from 1 species